UACGGAAGGGGGCUAGCGUUGUUCGGAUUUACUGGGCGUAAAGCGCACGUAGGCGGAUCGUUAAGUGAGGGGUGAAAUCCCAGGGCUCAACCCUGGAACUGCCUUUCAUACUGGCGGAUCUAGAGUCCGGAAGAGGUGAGUGGAACUCCUAGUGUAGAGGUGGAAUUCGUAGAUAUUAGGAAGAACACCGAGUGGCGAAGGCGGCUCACUGGUCCGGUACUGGACGCUGAGGUGCGGAAAGCGUGGGGAGCAAACAGG
rnacentral:rRNA from 1 species